AGGACGAACGCUUGCGACGUGCCUGAGAAAUGCAAGUCGAGCGGGUGGAGGGCUUCGGUUUUCCAUUAGCGGCGAACGGUCGAGUAACACGUAACCGACCUGCCUUCGGGUCUGGGAUAGCCCGUCGAAAGACGGCGUAAUACCGGAUGGUCUCAACGGGACGCAUGUUUUGUUGAGUAAAGGCUAGUAUGCCCGAAGAGGGGGUUGCGGCCUAUCAGCUGGUUGGCGGGGUAACGGCCCACCAAGGCGACGACGGGUAGCUGGUCUGAGAGGAUGGCCAGCCGGAUUGGGACUGAGACACGGCCCAAACUCCUACGGGGGGCAGCAAUCAGGAAUCUUGCGCAAUGGGGGCAACCCUGACGCAGCGACGUCGCGUGGAGGAAGACGGCCUUCGGGUUGUAAACUCCUUUUACCAGGGAAGAGCAAGGACGGUACCUGGUGAAUAAGCCCGGCUAACUCCGCGCCAGCAGCCGC
rnacentral:rRNA from 1 species